rnacentral:rRNA from 1 species
ACUCCUACGGGAGGCAGCAGUGGGGAAUAUUGGACAAUGGGCGAAAGCCUGAUCCAGCCAUGCCGCGUGUGUGAAGAAGGCCUUCGGGUUGUAAAGCACUUUCAGUGAGGAAGAAAGCCUGGGG